rnacentral:misc_RNA from 1 species
UGUACCGGCCUCGGGUCGUUGAGCGUGAGGAUAAACGAACGGGGCGCCCCAUCGCAUCGCGACUGUCACCACCGCUCACCCUAUGCAGAUAAAACUCGCAGCACACAUACGUCAGCCCAGCCCCCACACAAGGUGCGUGCUUAUACGAGCGCACACAAUAGAUUAGAGUCGUACACACCCAGAGAGAGAGGGAGAGAGAGAGGGAAGGGGCGAGACAGUAGAGUUGACGUGUGAGCACGGAUACGUGCGCUCACCUAGCAGCCAUUCCGGUGCCUUUCGAGUAGGGCCAGGCUCAGGUGCGGUUUGACGAACCUCUUCGGUUUUUGUUUUCUGUCUCUUGUGUGGAGCCGCUUUUGCUUUCAUAGAACCCACCCCACGAGCUGCAUCACCAGCGGUCGUCAUGGGCUCCCACAAGAAGGCCGCUGCCGUCUCUUCGAUGGACACGUUCGAGGAGGUUGGCCGCAUCUUUCAGCAAGUGCACCAGAGCGCCGCCCACGCGCAGAAGUGCAAGAAGAAGCUCAUCAGCCUCGGCCAGGAGAGCGCGCCGCAACUCUGCAGAAAUGUGUGCGAUGUCGUGCUGCUGAUCCUGAAGCAGGUGACUCAAAUCGCGCCUGAGGCGAUGCGAAGGCACUACGCCUUCGUCACUGAGCUCUGUAAGGCGUUCCGCGAGUCCUUCGAGUCGGACCAGCUGGCCAUUGAGCUGCUGAAGAGUGUUUCGGCCUUCCACAACGCGAUGGACAAGGCUGUGCGGCUGGCCGUCGUAUCCACCUUUGAGGCCCUGCUAAAGACGGUGGACCAAAGCAACGUGUCGGAGGAGCGGCAGGACUUCUACCAGGAGGCUGCGGAGCUGCUGAAGCAGCGCGUGCAUGAUAAGUGCCCGCAGGUUCGUGCGAAGGCGGUCGCCAGCGUGGCUGCCUUCCAGUCCGGGAAAAAAGACUGCGACGUCACACAGCAGCUCAUUGCACUGCUGUGCUGCGACACCAACGCCGACGUGCGCAAGCAGAUCCUCCACUCCAUUGCGCCGCGCAAGGAGUUUCUCGAGGGGUACUUCCACGGCAUUAUCCGCUGCAUUCGCGAUGUCGUGGCGCGCGUGCGGGCGGAGGCGUGGGACGUGCUAGGCCGCUUUCCGUGGCGCUACAUCACCGCCUACGCGGAUGCCAAGGGAGUGAAGAUGCCGGAGCUGCUCGCGGCCGGGCUUGACGACUCCAACGCAUCGGUCGUCAUUGCCUGUCGAGCCGCCAUCACCAACUCUUGGGUGCACCGUGACUGUAAGGAUGUGUGUGAAGAUUUCAUGAACAGCAUCGCGUGUGGGUACGUGCUCCCGUCGCUGUCGCCGUACGAGCGCAUCAGUGCGGAGCUGCUUGUACACGCGCGAAAGCGCCAGGCCAACACACACUUUCCCUUGAAGCUCGACGACAUCAACACGGCGGGGCUGCUCUUAUGGAAGGCGGACUGUCGUGUGUCGUGCGACACGGAGGGCGAGGACGAGACACAGCUGCUGCCGCCGCUGGGGCAGUUCAGCGCCGUUCUCCAGGAUACUGUGUACGCCUACGCGCGCCCCGAUGCGGAGCCCAAGACGGUCAAGUUCCGCAGCGUCGAGGACGCCGACAACAUGCUGCGUAUUCUGCUCUCGGUUUUUGACAUCUACGACGACAAUGCCUACUUGGCACACGCCGACAACACCACGCGCGCAUCGCUGCUGCGCCUCAUCAACUUUAUCUUGAAGGUUGUGCCUGACGAAGAUCCGUCGCUCUUCGUGGACGUCGCCGUGCGCGCUCUCAAGUCGCUCACCGCCCGCACGCCGGAGGAGGCAACAAAAACGAUCACGUCCGCGCUCGACUCGCUCUUUCGCAGCCUGAAACUGCCGCAGCGGCACAGCCUGGGCUUCGAUGAUGUCGAAGCAAUUGGACGCAAGAGCCGCGAGCGGCAGCAGGAGUUGGUGAAGCGGAAGGUGCUGUUGCGCGCUGGCGAGCUGGCGGAGGAGUCCUACACGGAGCUGAAGGAGGAAAUGGACCGAGAUGAGAAGUUUCUGCUGCGCAUGCAGCUCAUCGUCCUCGCGUUCCUUUCACAUUCGCAGCGCGGGGACGCGAUUCCGAUGUUCUGCUACCACAUCAUUCAGAUGGGCCGGCACCUGGACAACGAGAAAGUGCGCGUGGCGGCGACGAAAUCGCUUUGCUUGCAGUGCCUCAUCAACCCCGAGAGCGUCCACACCUUCAUGCCGCUCAUCCUGGCCGACUCGCAAGAGAAUGCUGGCGGCGCCGUAGGGGCCGACAUGAGCCUUCCCAUCGCGGCCAUCGGCGUCAUCUUUGAUCUCAUCAUGGAGUACGGGCUGCGCUUUUUCGACGUGGCGAAGCGGCCACCGAACGAGGCGAGGGCGUUGUACAACUCAGAGAGCGAGAUCGAGGCCCGCCUGCAGCGCGAGCAGGAAUUGGCGGAGGAGGACGUGCACAAAGUGGGCAGCAAGCGUCUUCUUUCAACGCUACAGUUUUACCUGCAGCCGGGCAACGAGGCCAAGCACAUCGUCACAUCCGCCGGCUUCUGCAAACUGCUGAGCUGCAACCGCCUUCCUGCAGAGGUGGUUCCACAUGUUGUAGCAGUUCUGCUUAUUCACUACACCGGUGCCAUGGCUUCGAAGAAGGAAAGCAUCACAGCCGCGUACAUGAUGGACUUCCUCGGCACCUUCUUCCGCAGCUAUGCCGCGAGCCACCCAAAGCGCCAGGUGCAGAUCUGCGAGGGCGGUAUCACUGCAUUCCGCGUCGUACUUGAGCGCAACAUCGCCAUGGCAUCGAGGCUGAUUGAGUUUGUUGCGCGUCUCACGGACGCCUACACGUUGACCGUCAUUCGCGACAUCGACCCGCAAGCGGCAAUGCGCGCGACCAGGGAUGUGGUGGACGAGACAGGAGGAGCAGCAGAAGAGGAGGUCGAGGCGCAGCGCAAGAGCAACCGCACCAACGCAACACGUUCUUCCAUGCAGUCUGGUCGCCUUUUCCGCGAACUGAGUCGCCACUCUCUUCACGAGCGUCUCUCGCAGGAGCUGCUGGUCGUGUUGGCGAGUAGCGAGCUCGUGGAGAGCCGCGCUGCCUGCAUGGAUGCUCUGGAGAAGUGCAUGUAUUUUUACAGCCUCGAACCGCAGCCCUUUUUACUCCACUGCGCCGCCGCGGCACUGGAGGCGACGCGGCAUGCUGCCCCUAUCGUGUACGACCGUCUAGAGGCCUGGCAGACGAAGCUUCGUGAGCGAUGCGCCGCGGCCGGCGCUGCGCCACAGUCGAACGGCCCCACGAGCGACGCCGAAAGCGCCGAUUCGCUCGAGCAGCGGUGGUGCGAGGCGUUAAAGGCACAUGAAGAGAAGCGGGACGCGCUGCUGGAGGCGGGCUUUGGCGGGUUCGCGUCCAUCCCACCUCAGCUCGAUGUUGCUUCACCCGUGAUGGUAAAGGUGGAAAUGGCGGAGUCGAAGCGGGAGCGCCACUCAGACGUGUUCGGCGUGGAAUCGAUUGUGGGUCCUCGCAAGCGAUCGAGGCACUGACGUGUAAGCACAGGCGCUCACGCAGGCCUGCAUGCUUCACAGCUUCGCAAUCCUCUCUAAAUGCGUUCUUCGGCAGCCGAUCUCUUCUCGCGUCGCCCUGCCCUCGUCGACGGACGCACCGCCGCUGUGGGCACGCUUUGCGACCUCCCUACUUGCAGAUGCUGUUGAGGUACAGGAAAUGGAGCGGUGACGAUGGCGGGGUUGCUGAGGGGUGGUAGAAGCGGCACCCCGGGGGCUGUGGCGCGGAAUGAGGUGGGCGCGAGAUAGGCGCACGUGUGCAUCUUCUGACACCGCGCGCAUGCCCUUCGUUCCUUGUCCUCCUUCCUGCCCCUCCUUUUUUUUUCUCUAUCUGCACGCCUCUGCGGUCCGUUUCACUCUUGCGUUUUCUCCUCACAUGCUCAGCCUCUGCAGCUGCUGUUGAUCCCCGUUGCUGUCCAGCGGAUGGACUUGAG